rnacentral:siRNA from 1 species
UUGGAGAGGAGAUUCUGCUCUUA